CGUUUUUAUAACGGAAAUAGGAAUACGCUGUAUGGUCCUUAUUUCCGGUUGCGCAUCCGGAGGAGGUGUGUGCUAACGAGUGUUAGCCGUUUGUCUUCCAGCGGGCGUUCAAGUCAAAAAGCCAGGUACGGUGGCUACAUGUGAUUGAUUUAAAAGAUACCCAUCCUACUACAGGACCACGGACGGUCCAUCACUCAGAUCAAGUACAACGGAGAAGGAGACCUUCAGUUUUCCGUCGCUAAAGAUCAAGUAAGUGACAUGAAAUGAUUGUGCUUAACAACUGCCACCAAUGACUAUAGGAUAGUAGUUAGUUUGACGUUAAGAAUAUGGACUGUCUACGUGGAGCUACAAAUGGCAACUCGACUCUGCUAGUUUUGACUUGCAAUUGUGUUACAAACAUAAGGCUAUAUGCUCUAUAGUGUAUGAUAUGAAAAUCAUAUUUGUAAUCAUGAAAAGGGGACUGAGGCCAGUAGAAUUGAUUUAUUUUCAUUCAGAUUAAAAGGAAAAGAGUACAACAUGGAUUUCUUCUCUCAUGAGGUUAUUGGUGGCGUCAGUAAUGUAGAGCAAACCAAUAAUUUGUGAAGUGAAGCCAUGAUUGCAUUGAAGCCUUUUAAUGUUUACCUUCAACAAUGUCUCCCUACACAGGUGGCCAAGAGUGUCCAAAUGUAGUUUGGACAGUUUUUGAUUCCAGCUCAUUCUUCCAUUCAUUGUGCCUCCUCUGCUAUAGCUGUUAAUGACAACAGCUGUAAUGGAGAAGAUGGACAUGUGAGGUGGAGGCCUAAAGUGUUAGGCUUGUGGACACCGCCAGGUAGAGUGAGGGAGCAACUUUACUUGAAGCAGAUCACUUGUUUUACUGAGUACUGUAAUUGUAGUGACUAUCAUUGCUAUGCUAUUGUUUAUUUAACACUUAGCUAAUUGCUAAAACACUGCGAUAUAUAGUUAUGUAUAGUAUACUGGUUCUAUCAAAUGAAAACUUUACACAUAUUUUUAAUUAGACAAAUAAUA